ACGGACCUCGAGAUCGUGACCUGGCUGAAGUCGGACGCUUAACCGACUGCGCCACCCAGGCGCCCCGCCCUUCGGUUUUUUAUAAAUGUCCUCGGAGGCUCUAAGCAGGGAGACAGAGGGGCACGCCCCACUUGGUCCUUGUGUGGGCUUGGCCUUGUCUUUCUCAGUUCUUUGUUCUUAUGGGCUGAAUUGUGUCCCCCAAAACUCAUGUGUUGGAGCCUCGACCCCUAGUACCACAGAACGUGACUGCGUUUGGAGACUGGGCCUUUAAAGGAGGGCGUUUUUGGCAGCCUCCGAGUUCCUCCUAGUAAGUGCUGGCUUUUGGAGGUUGGUCUGAAAAAACCACACGAAGAAGAUCGUGGAGUUUGAUUAAGCAGUGGGGCCCCCAGGUGAAGGCCUCUGGGUGCUUGGCGGCGAACCGAGGCUUUCUCUGGAACUUUGGCUCUCCCCGCAGCCAUCAUCCUGGCUCCCUCUAUACCCGGCGGGCCCCAGAUCGCUGCUGGCAGUGUGGCCCAGAGGUGUGGACUCCUUUGGGAAGAGGCAGAGGGCUCCCCGGAGGAGAGCGUGCAGCCCCCUCUCGUUUCCGUGGCAUGUCAGGGACUAAACGUUCGCUUUGGAGCUAGCAACGCUUGGGUUUCAUCUGAGCCGCUCCGCUCACCCGCUCUGCCACCCUGGCCUCACGUCCAGUCUGCUGUAGCCCCGCGAUUCCGUGGAGCCGGGAGUCGCAAAACUUCCGAGGAGAUACGUAUGUUCUCUUGGAAUCUCACGAGGGGGACCAGAGUCCGAGAGCCACGUGGCAGCCUUAACAGUGACCCUGCACAUGCCAAGAGCAUAGUCUCCGGCUGACGUGGCCACCCAUUGGACCCGGGGCGCUGCUUCGCAAUGUUCCCUCUAAGCACCCUGCUAAGUGCCGGCCUCGGGGUGGUCUUCGGUAAAACUCCACAUGGAACACAGACGAAUAGAUGGACCAUCCACAAAUCACUUGUUCUUGACCCUGGAACUCCUUUGAGAAGAUCGCUUUUCGAGCGGGGCCACUUUUACCCCCAAGGAAUCACCUCCAAAGCAACUGCUUGCACGCAGAACCUCGCAUCAGAUUUUGCUCCUGGAGAAACAAGAUGUUUCCCAUCCUCAUCAAGUCUCCCUGAUCUUUCUCACGGCACUCCCUCUAACCAAAUAGUCCUUAUCACCAUCUCUUCAAACGAAAGUAUGGCAGCGCCGGGUCCUAAAAGGCCAAGUAGCUUCUGCGUUGAGCCCUGAGUGGCUGUCACGUAAGAGCUCUGAUCACCCUGAGGCGGCCAUGCAGUGAGGAAGCCCAAUUCUCAUAAAGAGGCCACAUGUGGGCGCUCAGAUGAACAGUCCCGGUGAGCCCAGACUUUGAGUCACUUCGACCCAAGUGGCCAGACGCGCGAGCGAAGGGUGAUGAGCGCAGUCCCCCCAAACGUUCACAUCUUUUCCACUGAGACCUCAGACAUCGUGGGGCAGAGACACAAGGCGUCGAUGCUGUGUCCCGCCCAAAUUCCCAGCCCGUCGAGAGCCAGAGCACAAAGAAGCUGGUCUGUGAAGCUGCUACAUUUCGAAACUAUUUGUUAUGCAGAAAUAACUGAAGCACCCUUACUGCAAAUGUAUCAACUCUGCACCCCUUCGGCCAUCACUUAUCAAGCUCCUACUAUGUGCCAGCGCCCGGAAGGGGGGGUGGGGUAGGGUGGGGGGGGGUUGGGGGAACAGAGGAAACAUCCCUACCUUUUGGGAACUUACAGAUUUGGGGCUGCUGUUGUAACUGUAUCUUGCAAAAGCCUACGUGUUGCUUUGUAACAAUAACGAGUAGAUUUUUCAAAAACCACUUCCAGAUGGUGUGGGGGGAGGGGCGCUUCCUGAGCGAGUUGCCAAGGGAAGCUCCAGAGGUAGGUGGAUUAGAUAACAGAGACCCAGAGCGCUCUAUCCUUUGCUGGCUGUGAACCCCGGCUGGCCUUCGAACCGUCCGCCGGCGAGUCGCGCCCUCACACCAUGAAGAGACUGAAACCGAGGGGAGCUGAGAGGUGCCAUCACCGGGCAGAAGAACCCGGGACGGAGGUGGCGGCCGCCAGUGGGAGGAGGAUGGCCCUCGCCCCUUGCAGGCUGGGAGUAAGGCGACCUUGGCAAAGCCGGGGACCACCGGUUGGCUCCCCGGCUCUCUCACCUGACCCCCAGAGCGCAGGUCGGGAAGCAAGCUUGCUCCUACGUGUCCAGGCCUUCUUACCUCCAGGAGUCUGGACUCGGAGAAACGAGUGUGAUUUCAUCCUGCUAAUGUUUCUGUUCCUCUUUCAAAAAUAAAGCUGAUUUUUGAGACGUCUGCCUGA